UAGCAUAUCAAUAAGCGGAGGAAAAGAAACCAACCGGGAUUGCCCUAGUAACGGCGAGUGAAGCGGCAAGAGCUCAAAUUUGAAAGCUGGCUCCUUCGGGGUCCGCAUUGUAAUUUGCAGAGGAUGCUUCGGGAGCGGUCCCCAUCUAAGUGCCCUGGAACGGGCCGUCAUAGAGGGUGAGAAUCCCGUAUGGGAUGGGGUGCCCGCGCCCGUGUGAAGCUCCUUCGACGAGUCGAGUUGUUUGGGAAUGCAGCUCUAAUUGGGUGGUAAAUUUCAUCUAAAGCUAAAUAUUGGCCGGAGACCGAUAGCGCACAAGUAGAGUGAUCGAAAGAUGAAAAGCACUUUGAAAAGAGAGUUAAACAGCACGUGAAAUUGUUGAAAGGGAAGCGCUUGCGAUCAGACUCGCUCGCGGGGUUCAGCCGGCCUUCGGGCCGGUGUACUUCCCCGCGGGCGGGCCAGCGUCGGUUUGGGCGGCCGGUCAAAGGCCCCUGGAAUGUAACGCCUCUCGGGGCGUCUUAUAGCCAGGGGUGCCAUGCGGCCUGCCCGGACCGAGGAACGCGCUUCGGCUCGGACGCUGGCAUAAUGGUCGUAAGCGACCCGUCUUGAAACACGGACCAAGGAGUCUAACAUCUACGCGAGUGUUCGGGUGUCAAACCCGUGCGCGCAGUGAAAGCGAACGGAGGUGGGAACCCCUCGGGGUGCACCAUCGACCGAUCCUGAUGUCUUCGGAUGGAUUUGAGUAAGAGCGUAGCUGUUGGGACCCGAAAGAUGGUGAACUAUGCCUGAAUAGGGCGAAGCCAGAGGAAACUCUGGUGGAGGCUCGCAGCGGUUCUGACGUGCAAAUCGAUCGUCAAAUUUGGGUAUAGGGGCGAAAGACUAAUCGAACCAUCUAGUAGCUGGUUCUGCGU
rnacentral:rRNA from 1 species